ACUCGCUUGGUGAAAAUGGUAAACACGACAGCCUCAAAAUCUGUUCCUCUGGGUUAUCGGUUCGAAUCCGAUAGCGAGUA
rnacentral:tRNA from 3 species